rnacentral:rRNA from 1 species
AGCCAACCUACCCUAUGGACGGGGAUAACCUCGGGAAACUGAGGAUAAACCCCGAUAGAUCAUUAUGCCUGGAACGGUUUAUGGUCCAAACGAUUCGUCGCCGUAGGAUGGGACUGCGGCCUAUCAGCUUGUUGGUGAGAUAAUGGCCCACCAAGGCUAUUACAGGUACGGGCUCUGAGAGGAGAAGCCCGGAGAUGGGUACUGAGACACGGACCCAGGCCCUAUGGGGCGCAGCAGGCGAGAAACCUUUGCAAUGUGCCCAAGCACGACAAGGUUAAUCCGAGUGUUUCCUGCUAAAGGAAUCUUUUGCUAGUCCUAAAAACACUAGUGAAUAAGGGGUGGGCAAGUUCUGGUGUCAGCCGCCGCGGUAAAACCAGCACCUCAAGUGGUCAGGAGGAUUAUUGGGCCUAAAGCAUCCGUAGCCUGCUCUAUAAGUUUCCGGUUAAAUCCAUUUGCUCAACAAAUGGGCUGCCGGAAAAACUGUAAAGCUAGGGAGUGGGAGAGGUAGACGGUACUCGGUAGGAAGGGGUAAAAUCCUUUGAUCUAUUGAUGACCACCUGUGGCGAAGGCGGUCUACCAGAACACGUUCGACGGUGAGGGAUGAAAGCUGGGGGAGCAAGCCGGAUUAGAUACCCGGGUAGUCCCAGCUGUAAACUAUGCAAACUCAGUGAUGCAUUGGCUUGUGGCCAAUGCAGUGUUGCAGGGAAGCCGUUAAGUUUGCCGCCUGGGAAGUACGUACGCAAGUAUGAAACUUAAAGGAAUUGGCGGGGGAGCACCACAAGGGGUGAAGCCUGCGGUUC